UACGUAGGGUGCGAGCGUUGUCCGGAAUUAUUGGGCGUAAAGGGCUCGUAGGCGGUUUGUCGCGUCGGGAGUGAAAACCUUGGGCUUAACUCAGGGCUUGCUUUCGAUACGGGCAGACUAGAGGUAUGCAGGGGAGAACGGAAUUCCGGGUGUAGUGGUGAAAUGCGUAGAGAUCCGGAGGAACACCAGUGGCGAAGGCGGCUGGCUGGACCUGACCUGACGCUGAGGCGCGAAGGCGUGGGGAGCGAACGGG
rnacentral:rRNA from 1 species